AGUGAACGCUGGCGGUAGGCCUAACACAUGCAAGUCGAACGGCAGCACAGUAAGAGCUUGCUCUUACGGGUGGCGAGUGGCGGACGGGUGAGGAAUACAUCGGAAUCUACUUUUUCGUGGGGGAUAACGUAGGGAAACUUACGCUAAUACCGCAUACGAAUUACGGGUGAAAGCAGGGGAUCUUCGGACCUUGCGCGAUUGAAUGAGCCGAUGUCGGAUUAGCUAGUUGGCGGGGUAAAGGCCCACCAAGGCGACGAUCCGUAGCUGGUCUGAGAGGAUGAUCAGCCACACUGGAACUGAGACACGGUCCAGACUCCUACGGGAGGCAGCAGUGGGGAAUAUUGGACAAUGGGCGCAAGCCUGAUCCAGCCAUACCGCGUGGGUGAAGAAGGCCUUCGGGUUGUAAAGCCCUUUUGUUGGGAAAGAAAAGCAGCAGGUUAAUACCCCGCUGUUCUGACGGUACCCAAAGAAUAAGCACCGGCUAACUUCGUG
rnacentral:rRNA from 1 species